UGGGGAAUAUUGCACAAUGGGCGCAAGCCUGAUGCAGCCAUGCCGCGUGUAUGAAGAAGGCCUUCGGGUUGUAAAGUACUUUCAGCGGGGAGGAAGGCGAUAAGGUUAAUAACCUUGUCGAUUGACGUUACCCGCAGAAGAAGCACCGGCUAACUCCGUGCCAGCAGCCGCGGUAAUAAGGAGGGGGCAAGCGUUAAUCGGAAUUACUGGGCGUAAAGCGCACGCAGGCGGUCUGUCAAGUCGGAUGUGAAAUCCCCGGGCUCAACCUGGGAACUGCAUUCGAAACUGGCAGGCUAGAGUCUUGUAGAGGGGGGUAGAAUUCCAGGUGUAGCGGUGAAAUGCGUAGAGAUCUGGAGGAAUACCGGUGGCGAAGGCGGCCCCCUGGACAAAGACUGACGCUCAGGUGCGAAAGCGUGGGGAGCAAACA
rnacentral:rRNA from 1 species